UACGUAGGGGCAAGCGUUGUCCGGAAUCAUUGGGCGUAAAGCGCGUGUAGGCGGCUUGGUAAGUCUGCUCUGAAAGCCCGGGGCUCAACCCCGGGAGGCGGGUGGAUACUGUCAAGCUCGAGUCCGGAAGAGGAGUGUGGAAUUCCUGGUGUAGCGGUGAAAUGCGCAGAUAUCAGGAGGAACACCAAUGGCGAAGGCAGCACUCUGG
rnacentral:rRNA from 1 species